GACGAACGCUGGCGGCGUGCUUAACACAUGCAAGUCGAACGGAAAGGCCCUGCUUUUGUGGGGUGCUCGAGUGGCGAACGGGUGAGUAACACGUGAGUAACCUGCCCUUGACUUUGGGAUAACUUCAGGAAACUGGGGCUAAUACCGGAUAGGAGCUCCUGCUGCAUGGUGGGGGUUGGAAAGUUUCGGCGGUUGGGGAUGGACUCGCGGCUUAUCAGCUUGUUGGUGGGGUAGUGGCUUACCAAGGCUUUGACGGGUAGCCGGCCUGAGAGGGUGACCGGCCACAGUGGGACUGAGAAACGGCCCAGACGCAUACGGGAGGCAGGAGUGGGGAAUAUAGCACAAUGGGCGGAAGCCGGAUGCAGCAACGCCGCGUGCGGGAUGACGGCCUUCGGGUUGUAAACCGCUUUGGCCUGUGACGAAGCGUGAGUGACGGUAAUGGGUAAGAAGCACCGGCUAACUACGUG
rnacentral:rRNA from 1 species